CAGUUAGUUUGGCUGUUAACAGAAAUUACCCAAUCCCAGCGCAGCUAUCCGAAUUACAGACUGUGUUAGCUUCCAGUCUCUGUUAAGUUGUUUGCUUC